UUCACAAAGACCGAAUAUCGAUUUCGUUGCGUUUUUCGGCGAAAUCUGCUGGCGGAACGCGGUUUCGGGUUGGAUUUUAUCCGACGUUGUUGGAACACGUGGUGUUUUACUGCCGAGCCUUGUUGGCUGGUCACCUAUGUUAUUCCAAUAGUUCAGAGACGUCAGGUGAGUAGUGGAGGGUUUCGGUGUCGAAAUCGACAUUUCCGGGAACCCGAAUUGGAGUGAUUAUCUGACGAUAAUCGUUUCGACAU
rnacentral:lncRNA from 1 species